AUUGAACGCCGGCGGCAUGCCUUACACAUGCAAGUCGAACGGUAACAGGUCUUCGGAUGCUGACGAGUGGCGAACGGGUGAGUAAUACAUCGGAACGUGCCUAGUAGUGGGGGAUAACUACUCGAAAGAGUGGCUAAUACCGCAUGAGAUCUACGGAUGAAAGCAGGGGAUCGCAAGACCUUGUGCUACUAGAGCGGCCGAUGGCAGAUUAGGUAGUUAGUGGGAUAAAAGCUUACCAAGCCGACGAUCUGUAGCUGGUCUGAGAGGACGAUCAGCCACACUGGGACUGAGACACGGCCCAGACUCCUACGGGAGGCAGCAGUGGGGAAUUUUGGACAAUGGGCGAAAGCCUGAUCCAGCAAUGCCGUGUGCAGGAUGAAGGCCUUCGGGUUGUAAACUGCUUUUGUACGGAACGAAAAGCCCUGGGUUAAUACCCUGGGGUCAUGACGGUACCGUAAGAAUAAGCACCGGCUAACUACGUGCCAGCCGCCGCGGUAA
rnacentral:rRNA from 1 species